UCGAGAAUUUUUCACAAUGGGCGAAAGCCUGAUGGAGCGACGCCGCGUGGGGGAUGAAGGGCUUCGGUCCGUAAACCCCUGUCAUUUGCGAACAAUGCUCAUGACCUAACACGUCAUGAGUUGAUAGUAGCAAAAGAGGAAGGGACGGCUAACUCUGUGCCAGCAGCCGCGGUAAUACAGAGGUCCCAAGCGUUGUUCGGAUUUACUGGGCGUAAAGGGUGCGUAGGUGGCGGGGUAAGUCUGAUGUGAAAUCUCCGAGCUCAACUCGGAAAUGGCAUUGGAUACUAUCUUGCUCGAGGGUCGGAGGGGAGACUGGAAUUCUCGGUGUAGCAGUGAAAUGCGUAGAUAUCGAGAGGAACACCAGUGGCGAAGGCGAGUCUCUGGACGACUCCUGACACUGAGGCACGAAAGCUAGGGGAGCAAACAG
rnacentral:rRNA from 1 species